CUCAAAUCUCAGAUCCAUUUUCAAAAUUCAAACCUAAAAGCACGUCCUCUUUCUUCCCCUAAAAUCUAUCCAUUUUCAAAAUUCAAACCCUACUCUCCCAAAUCUCUCUCCCUCUCAGAUCUUCGCCAAAACCCAGGGUCUUCAACAUCAAAAGGCCUUUUUCUUCUACGUUAAUCUCAAAAAGAGAUAUAUGCAAGAACAUGAUGAAGUGGAUCUUUCAACCCUUGGAAUGGCUUUCAUAUUUUGAGCGGGAUGAAAACAGUGGACUAAAUUUGGCUCCGCGUGUGCAAUAAACUGGUUUAUUUCUUAUGAUUUAUAUAUGGAAUACUAAAACUGUCUACUUUACUACUGGUCUAGGGUUGAUUUUUCUUCUGCUUCAAUAUAUGGAGCUUUAAAACGUGUCAACAUGUUUCCAUCGUUGCUUGUAUAGCCUAACCCACAAAGAUAAGGAACGUAGUGGUUCGGUUGUGUAACGCCUCGUACUUCCGUGUUUCCAUGUCUUUAGAAAUGCGAGUCCGUUUCUCUAUUUUUUUAGAAUCGCCGUUGAAAUCUGAUCGAGGAGCGAAUUAAAAACGGGAAAGAAGUACGCAAUUUGCGCGCUUUUACUCAACCGUCGCUCAAACACGACAACGACGACUACCCGCACUAUUUCAAAAAUAUUUAUUUAUUUAUUUGUGUGUUUAAAAAAAAACGAAAUAUCAUUCACGACGUUACAGAGUGUUCGGAUUAUAUAUAUAUAUAUUUUUUUACGAGUUCACAAGAGACCUCGGGUCACUAAACUCGGGGAUUGGGCUUGUGGGCCUUGGGCCCAAGCCCAAACCCACUAGUAAGACCCUAAUACAUAUGACUAGUAACCCUAAAUAUUUCAUCAUCUUCAGCCGCAUAUAUGUUGUCUGCUAAUCUAAAUUGCACCCACAUUUACCUAUGGUUCAUCUUCUCCUAUAUAUCACUCAGAACUCCCUCCAUACUUCACUCAACAACACCCACAGCUCCCCACCUUCACACCCGAUUCCCUUGUUUCACCGGUGACUAGCCGGUGUCGGCACAACUCAGGCAACCGGCCCCCCCUUCUCCGACGCGACACACCCAUUACCCCCCCUUCAUCUUCUCCGGUUGGGUUCCGGUAAACACCAUCAACCGCACCCCCCUGUUCUGGGCUAAUUGAACCGCCGACCACCACCCCUCUGGUAGUGGCACCCGACGACAAGAUAGAGCGAGAGAGAGACAGACGGCGGAGAUGCCGUUCUCCGGCGAUGGGUGGUGCAACGGCAUGGCGGCGGUCCGACGGGUUCUACGGUGAUACCCCUCCCUUCUGUUUACAUUUUUUUUAUUUAUUUAAACUGAAGAUUGAUGGUGUUGAUGAUGGCGAUGUUAUGUUGAAGACAACGAUUCGGUUACGGGUGCAGGUCGAUUUCGGGUUACGGCUCAGCGACGGUGACGGCGGUGUAUGUCUCGAGCCUCGGUUCAGGUUAGGUUCUAUUUCGGCUCAGUUAACCUCUCGAUGUCCGGGUUGGCUCGGGUGCUCGUCUCGGGUCAACAGUGGUUUCGGGUCAACGGGCGUUCGGGCCAGUUGGAGAUGCGGAUCAGAUCGCGUGCUUCGGUUCAUUAUAGUUUGAAUUUUUGAUUCAGUCUCGGUUUAUUUUAACGUCUCGAUCAAGUCCGAGCUUUGUUCAGACUAUGUUUGGUUUCGUUUCGGGUCCAGUCAACAGCAGUCAACUCGGUCAACGAAAGUCAACCGGUCAACUGCUGGUCAACUUCUGAUCCGAGACUUGGGUUACCUUGGUGUUCCAUCCUCUUAAUCUCAUACACUCGCCAAUGACUGGAUAAUCGGAAGACUUAGCAAUUAUGUUGACAGUCAAGAUGUUGAAGAAUCAAGUUAGGAUGGUCUAGAU